CAGUGGAGCUCUCCUGGUGUUGGUUUCCCCUUGUGGGACUCUACACAUCACCUACUCCUAUUACCUACAUAUUUUGGAGGGUUACCCCCUCAUUGGAGUAUUAGGUGGUUACAGUCAGUGGCGUCGCUAGGGGGGGCCAGAGGAGGCCAUGGCCCCCCUACAUCAGGCUGUGCCCCCCCUUGGGCCCCCCCAAAUGCCAGCAACUUGCUGGCCAUGUGUUUAAAUUACAUUCCCUCGGACUGUAACAGUGUG